UACGUAGGGUGCGAGCGUUUGUCCGGAAUUACUGGGCGUAAAGAGCUCGUAGGUGGUUUGUCGCGUUGUUCGUGAAAACUCACGGGCUUAACUGUGAGCGUGCGGGCGAUACGGGCAGACUGGGAGUACUGCAGGGGAGACUGGAAUUCCUGGUGUAGCGGUGGAAAUGCGCAGAUAUCAGGAGGAACACCGGCUGGCGAAGGCGGGUCUCUGGGCAGUAACUGACGCUGGAGGAGCGAAAGCGUGGGGAGCGAACAGGAUUAGAACCGUACGUAGUCAGUCCAAGUCCA
rnacentral:rRNA from 1 species